rnacentral:rRNA from 1 species
UGGGGAAUUUUGGACAAUGGGCGCAAGCCUGAUCCAGCCAUGCCGCGUGCGGGGAGAAGGCCUUCGGGUUGUAAACCGCUUUUGUCAGGGAAGAAAUCUUCUGAGUUAAUACCUCGGGAGGAUGACGGUACCUGAAGAAUAAGCACCGGCUAACUACGUGCCAGCAGCCGCGGUAAUACGUAGGGUGCAAGCGUUAAUCGGAAUUACUGGGCGUAAAGCGUGCGCAGGCGGUUUUGUAAGACAGAGGUGAAAUCCCCGGGCUCAACCUGGGAACUGCCUUUGUGACUGCAAGGCUUGAGUGCGGCAGAGGGGGGAUGGAAUUCCGCGUGUAGCAGUGAAAUGCGUAGAUAUGCGGAGGAACACCGAUGGCGAAGGCAAUCCCCCUGGGCCUGCACUGACGCUCAUGCACGAAAGCGUGGGGAGCAAACAGGAUUAGAU